rnacentral:lncRNA from 1 species
GGUCUUUUGGGCGAAGAGGUGAAGAGGAAAAAGACCAACAAAAAUGAAAUGAAAAAAAAAGGAAUUAUUAACAAUCUCCAAAACCAAAGAGUUGUUCCACAAGACAGCACACAAUCAAAACUCAAAAGUCAUCAUUUGGCAUCAAAUUAGGAAAACAAAAAACAGCCAUCCGUAGCUGCCUAAGUGAGUAUUCAUUAGACUUGUCAACCAAUAGAAGAAGCAUCUAUACAGGGCAACUUUAAGGAAGAAACAGGAGGGAAAGGAGAGCCAUCAAGCAAAAAUCUCGGUAAGUUGAUGGCUGAAGAAAGAGAAUGGGAAAGAUUGAAAUUUUUUAGUAUGUUAUUAUGCUGUCGUAUGCGUUAGCAUUUUUUGAAGUUGACAUAAUGCAAUUUGUACUUUCCAGAUCCGUAGGUCUCUAAACCGAAAAAAGUUUGAGAAACAAAAGUUUACCUGAUUCCUUCCUGGCGUAAAGGUGCUAGAGCAAGAGGUGGCAUUGGC